rnacentral:rRNA from 1 species
GACGAACCGUGCGAACGUUGUUCGGAAUCACUGGGCAUAAAGGGCGCGUAGGCGGCUUUUCAAGUCAGGGGUGAAAUCCGGCAGCUCAACUGUCGAAGUGCCCUUGAUACUGAUGAGCUCGAGGGAGGUAGGGGUAUGUGGAACUUCCGGUGGAGCGGUGAAAUGCGUUGAUAUCGGAAGGAACGCCGGUGGCGAAAGCGACGUACUGGACCUCUUCUGACGCUGAAGCGCGAAAGCUAGGGGAGCAAACGGG